rnacentral:rRNA from 1 species
CGCGUAGGUGGUCCUUCAAGUCAGAUGUUAAAUCUCCCGGCUUAACUGGGAGCUGUCAUCUGAUACUGCUGGACUUGAGGGCGGUAGAGGGAGGUGGAAUUCCCGGUGUAGUGGUGAAAUGCGUAGAUAUCGGAAGGAACACCAGUGGCGAAAGCGGCCUCCUAGGCCGUUCCUGACACUGAGGCGCGAAAGCGUGGGGAGCGAACAGGAUCAGAUACCCUGGUAGUCCACGCCCUAAACUGUGGAAACUAGGUACAGGGAGUAUCGACCCUUCCUGCGCCGUAGCUAACGCGUUAAGUUUCCCGCCUGGGGACUACGGUCGCAAGACUAAA